rnacentral:rRNA from 1 species
AGUGAACGCUGGCGGUAGGCCUAACACAUGCAAGUCGAACGGCAGCACAGUAAGAGCUUGCUCUUACGGGUGGCGAGUGGCGGACGGGUGAGGAAUACAUCGGAAUCUACUUUUUCGUGGGGGAUAACGUAGGGAAACUUACGCUAAUACCGCAUACGACCUACGGGUGAAAGCAGGGGAUCUUCGGACCUUGCGCGAUUGAAUGAGCCGAUGUCGGAUUAGCGAGUUGGCGGGGUAAAGGCCCACCAAGGCGACGAUCCGUAGCUGGUCUGAGAGGAUGAUCAGCCCCACUGGACCUGAGACCCGGUCCAGCCUCCUACGGGAGGCAGCAGUGGGGAAUAUUGGCCAAUGGGCGCAAGCCUGAUCCAGCCAUACCGCGUGGGUGAAGAAGGCCUUCGGGUUGUAAAGCCCUUUUGUUGGGAAAGAAAAGCAGCAGGUUAAUACCCCGCUGUUCUGACGGUACCCAAAGAAUAAGCACCGGCUACCUUCGU